AGAGGGUGCAAGCGUUAAUCGGAAUUACUGGGCGUAAAGGGCGCGUAGGUGGUAGAUUAAGUUAGAUGUGAAAGGCAUAGGCUUAACCUGUGUUUUGCAUAUAAUACUGGUUUACUGGAGUUCAGGAGAGGGGAGUGGAAUUCUCGGUGUAGCGGUGAAAUGCGUAGAUAUCGGGAAGAACACCGGUGGCGAAGGCGGCUCCCUGGUCUGACACUGACACUGAGGCGCGAAAGCGUGGGUAGCGAACAGGAUUAGAUACCCUGGUAGUCCACGCUGUAAACGAUGAGGACUAGAUGUUUGACGGCGCACUAGCUGUUGAGUAUCGAAGCAAACGCGUUAAGUUCUCCGCCUGGGAGUACGGUCGCAAGAUUA
rnacentral:rRNA from 1 species